GGAGAACCCACUGGUGUUGACGGGUUGGAGGGGAAACUACUGCUAGUGUGGUCAGGUGGGAGGAUCAAAGACAGUGGACGCCAAACACCAGUGAUGUGGUGACUGACUUCAUGAGGGAGUGAGUCGGAGUGGAGAGGCAAGACUCAAUGACCCCGCCGUAGUGUAACACUAAUCAGAGGCAGACGUGCCAGCAAGGUUCCACCUGCACGUUUCCAGUCCGAGCCCAUCCCUCCUCCAGUGUCCUAACAUCACACUCAGCUGUUGGCACAGCUCCCUCCUCUACUAAUGCCUGCAGGCAACGGAAGAAAGAUCAGUUCUGUGCCACCAGCUCACAAGCCAACGGCCCACUGUGAAUUCUCC